UACGUAGGGUGCGAGCGUUGUCCGGAAUUAUUGGGCGUAAAGAGCUCGUAGGCGGUUUGUUGCGUCGGCCGUGAAAACUUGGGGCUUAACCCCGAGCCUGCGGUCGAUACGGGCAGACUUGAGUUCGGCAGGGGAGACUGGAAUUCCUGGUGUAGCGGUGAAAUGCGCAGAUAUCAGGAGGAACACCGGUGGCGAAGGCGGGUCUCUGGGGCCGAUACUGACGCUGAGGAGCGAAAGCGUGGGGAGCGAACAGG
rnacentral:rRNA from 1 species